AUUGAACGCUGGCGGCAGGCCUAACACAUGCAAGUCGAGCGGAGCGGCGGACGGGUGAGUAAUGCCUAGGAAUCUGCCUGGUAGUGGGGGAUAAAGUACGGAAACGGACGCCAAUAAAGCAUACUAGCAGAUGAGCCUAGGUCGGAUUGGCUAGUAGGUGGGGUAACGGCUUACCUAGGCGACGAUCUCUAGCUGGACUGAGAGGAUGAUCAGCCACACUGGGACUGAGACACGGCCCAGACUCCUACGGGAGGCAGCAGUGGGGAAUAUUGGACAAUGGGCGAAAGCCUGAUGGAGCCAUGCCGCGUGUGUGAAGAAGGCCUUCGGAUUGUAAAGCACUGUCAGCGGGGAGGCGUUACUCGCAGAAGAAGCACCGGCUAACUACGUGCCAGCAGCCGCGGUAAUUC
rnacentral:rRNA from 1 species